AAUUACUAACUUUUCAUUUUAUUUUCCUUUUAGAGUUCUUGUUCACAUAAUGUGUCUUCUUCCUCAUUGACUCAGCAAAUGCACUAAUGUUAACAGUCAAAACAAACCAUUUGAGCUGUGAAACACAUUGUAUGUAGGAGUAGCAGAGUAACCUGAGGGCUCCGGUAAAUGCAUCUGUCAUUUCUGGAAACAAGCUUUUUACUUGUUUUCAUGAAAUAAGUUAAAUUGACUGCUUAUGUCUGAAUCUAACUUUUGUACUACAGGACAAAUAAAAUAUGUGAGUACUAAUGAGGGGGUUCUUGAGAAUAUUGUAGCCUGAUAUCUUCUCCCAUAUCUUUUGAUGUAGUUAACUUAGUCUCAUGUACCUUUAAUUCUACUAAAACAGACAUUUAGUUCUACUAAACAGACAUUGGUUAUACUAAUUACCACCAGACUUUUACUACAAAUAUUUUCUCCCUUAUUCAACAUAAAAUAAAAGGGUAAUUUUUUUUAUUUUCAAUAUAUUGAUAUGGAAGUGUUGUGGUAUUUUGUCUGUAAAUACUGCUGGAAGUUCCCUCUACUAAGUACACUGCCCUGGUGCUCAUACACGAUUGCCUGCUUGAGCAUAGGUUUGCCGAAUGAGCAGUAAAUCAGCUGAGCUGUUGUUUUAGAGGUUAAUAUUAAAAAAAAAAAACAAAAAACCCACAACAAAAAAGCAGAACCAAACAAAACCCCACAAAACAGAACAAACAAAAAAACCAACCAAAACCAAACCAAAACCAGGGAGCAAGAAUACACAGGCAAGAGUACUAUAAACAUCAGGAGAGAGUCAGUGGCGCUUUGUAGCUAGUAAGGGAAAAAUGUUUUAGCAGUUCUGCACCACCAUGCUAACCUUUACUUUCUGUGUAUAUUAGGUAAGAAAAAGCUUUGAGGUGACUGUAGUGCUUUUCUUCCAAAGUGCAGGAUUUUCUCUCCACAUCAGUUUUAGAUGGUAUCUGUGAUCAAAGGGACAUACACUGUUCAUAUGCUUCCUCUGUACUUCAGAACGAGGGGUGACCUGGAGGGUGUAUAAGUGCCCUUGUGUGGUUGCCUGGAAACUUUGGCCCACACAAGUGUCAACUUUCUUUCAUGGUUAUAAAGGAAGACUGCGCCUCACAGAGAGCUUUAGUCUUGGAGAAAAAAGGUCCUUGUGUGUUUUAAAACAAGUGUCUCACCAGGAGAUAAUGGUAGAGCAGUGGGUUAUAAAUGAUGUAUUUUGUUCACUUCGCCUUGAUAAUGGCACAAGGGAAAAAAAGUUCAUCGCUCUCUUAUCAAAAUACUGUGACAUUUCUCCUUCAACUGUAAAAUUUCCUAUCACAUUCCUCUGCUGCAACAGCAACUAAAUUUACUCAAUUGUAGAGACUACAUAACCUCUCAUCAAAAGGUGUCUUUUAUUUCUUCUUUUCUCCAUGCUUAUACUUCAGGAGAAGCACUAAGGUUGCUGAAAUCACUUUUAACAGUGAAGCAAAUUUGCUUUUAAGGAGCUUAUACAUUAGCUACUGACUACCAUACAAUACCGUGCAGGCUCUUUUUCUAUCUUGGCCAAAGACAGCAUGACAUUUUCUGUUGUCAUGUCUUUUUAUGCUGAUCACAUUUGUUCUUGAAGAUGUGUUUUAAAUGCAGCAACUUAAAAAUGAAGGUGACUAAUUGCUGAAGACCAAAAGCACUGCAAAACAGUUGCACUUCUCCUGAGUGGUAACUUACUUCCAGUUAGUACAGAUUGCUGUUUGAGACAAGAGAUGGCAUUUUUUGUUCCACCAAACAAAUAUCUUUAUUUGGCACUUCCAGUUUACAGAGGUUCCGGUCUGUGUGUUCUACUCCACUGAAGUUUUGAUUUGCCCUGUGCCCAAGGCACAUCUCUGUGCUUUGUCAGGGUGUUGUUCCAUUCCCUCUGCUGGGAAUGACCGUGCAAACGCAGCUGUGCUGUUUGGGGGCUGCUUCCUAAAUGCCUGUUCAAAGCCAGCUGAAGUAAAUGGGAAGUGACAUCAGUGGGUUUUGGAUAAGUUACGCCUUUGUCUAAUACAGAGGAGCAGUAUGGUAGUAGACUGUAUUUCAUUGGCAGAAAUUGGUGUACAAUCACUUCCAAAACUAUGGAAAACUGUUACCACAGGGGACUGUUCUGUUUCCAUGACUGUAAUGGCAGACAUCAUAAAGUGUGUAAAUCCAAAGUGGAAUUCCCUUUACAUUUUGACAGGUGUUAGUAUAACAAUACUAAAAAAUCAGUAGUGAAAUGUGAAGCUUUGUGAACCAGAUUCCUAUAGUGGAAGUUUAACCAUGCAGCUUUCACUCAAUAUUUUGCCCACAUCCAUUUUUAACAUGGAUCUAUCAAAGAAUAUUACAGAACUGCAGCAUGGUUUAUAAGUAUAAGUAACUGAAAUGUUAACAAAUGUAAAUACUAUUGCUAAAAUGCAGAGGUAAAUCACAAAAUGGAAACACAUCUAAGAGAAAAUAAAGUUUAGUAUGCAUGUGGAGGGUAGCCUUGAGUCAAGACUGCAUGCACAAAGAUAUUUUGGUUUUUUGAACAGAGCAAAUGUUGAAGAACAGCUCUAAUGCUAAUAUAAUGAUUGACUCCUUACAAUGGAUCCUGCUCAGUUACAAUGUUGUCAGAAUUAAUCUCCAGAGAUGUCUAGAGAAUAUGUGACAUUCCUUGCAGGACUCAGGGCUGCCUCCUUCAACAACAGGCUUCUAAUAAUGAGUAAAAAGCCCACACAUUAGUACUGUGCAACUACCCCAAAACCAAAUGAUGAUGGGGAUAAAAUCCUAUGUAUGUGUAGCUAUGUUCUGUGCCUGGCAUGCAAAUGUUCUGUUUCAACCAAUUAUGACUUCUCUUACAUUUCAGAGAAGAGUUUACUACUGAGUGGAUCAUCAUUUGGAAGAAAUUAAAAUUGGAACAAUACAGGGAUAUGAAUAUUUUAUGAUAUAGAUGAUGACUGGGUGUGAAAUUGGGGAUAAGUGAAAGUUCAGUUGAUAUUACAUACUUCUCUUUCAUACUCACAUAGUAAUCUAUUGGAAGAUACAUUGUCUUUAAUCAUAGUCUUUUGAAACACAGGCUCAUGGAUGGACUGUUUUUGAGAUGCAUGACAUUAUUUCCAUAUUUUUCAAGAGGUGACACAACCAUCUGUUGCUAUUUCGAAACUGUGAAGGAUAUUUUUAUGAAAACUGCACCUUUAUUAACAUUGUGAUUCAAGAAUAGCUCUUGGUUCAAAAUUUGAUGUUGAAACAGUGAGAUUACAUAGUAAUUGAGCUUUUAUUUGCAUUGGAAUGGUCAGUGAAAACAUUCAGCGUACCCAAGAAAUCCCCCAUCCCUUUGCACAAAUAAUCUUUGUGUCGAAGGACAAGGGCCAGUGGGGCAGUGUGUUCUCAUAUUAAUCAAUAAAUGCAUGGUUUAUAUAUUAACCUAUAAAUGUGUGCUGAGAUCAGCUAGGAAUUUUGUACACAUGGCAUUAUGCUAAGUUAAAGAAAGGUAACUGAUGAAGACAAGAGGCUGGCCCUAACUGCUCUGAUUUACUGACAGUGCUACAGUAUGACACAAAAAUCUACGUCAUUUUUGCCUUGAAAAUAAUUUUUAAAAGUCUUUAAAUCAAUUUAAACUUGCUGCAAAUUGGGCAAAGUAAUUUAGAUACUACAGUUUCAAAAUUUGAUUGCCAUCUCCAGUCUAGGUAGUGUGAGGUGCUGGGAAAUGAGGCAAGAAUCCAAAAUAAUCACAUUCUGGAAGAGUAAAAAUGCGAGUCUGAAAUGCAAAAGCAUUCAUUGUGCUUUCUGAAGGCAUGUUGUAAGCAGCAAAAUGGGAAAACUUUAGCAUUAAAAUUCAGAGACUGAGGUAGGUGUAGCAGCCCCAUACUCUCAGUGUGGUAUAUUUCCUGAUUAAAAAGCAGUUUCUUGAGUAUCUUUGGUUCCUGUAACCAGAAUUGAAACGGGGACUAAAUCUAAGUAACUGUCACACUUGUGACAGCUCAGUGGCAUUAAACAUGGUUUGAGGCUUUGGCAGACAACCCCAAAUUUGUAAUACAAUAGACAGGAUAUCAGAAUAACAGUGGCUUAGCAUACCUGUGCAUAGCUAAAUGAGAAGAGAAAAGCAGAUAUCACCAUGAGGUGAGAGGUACUUUUGCACAUUUGCAUUAACAGAUAGGCUUACACAGAGUAGAUGUAGUUGAUCAGUAUUUUGCUUGAUUGUGUUUGAUGAUGUUACUUGUUCCAUUUGGUUGAGAUACAAAAAAAAAAGAGUAAUCAGUGGGGCAGUCUGACCUGGAUCUAGUCAGUCUACCACAUAUUCUUACCAGGAUAGCUGGGAACAAUAUCCAUUUGGAAAUGUGAGCUGUAGGAAUCCUUGUACUAAUUUUUUGAAGACUGUUUGGGGGUCCAUCACAAAAUGGCAACUUAAAAGUAGAAUUUACUUUACUGUUUGUCCCAAGAAUAUGAAAAAUAUGAGCUCUUUAUAAAAAAAACACUUCUUGCUUUUCAUAUGAAGGUUUUUAAUAGCUUCUUUGUUGUUUUACAAAAAUUAUUUGGUUUAGCGCUUAAAUUAUUUGUUUUCAGUAGUCUAUAAAAAGUGUACAAUGGCUACACACUAUAUAAAGGACAUUUUUAUGAUGAAGAGAUGAAAGGAAGGAAGAUGACAAAUCUUACAAGGGAAAAUAAUUUUUUUCUGAGAGCACUAUAAAAUUAAUGAGUGAAUAUUAACAAAUAUAGAAAGUUACUUGUUUAGAAUGUUGCCUAGAAUCUUUAGAUCUAUAGUGAAAUAUUGUUAAAUGGGUGCACAAAGUUUUAUUCUUUAUAAAUCCAGUUUAAAUGCUUAGACAUGAAUGAUGCCAGACAGUCAAAAUGUGGUCUGGUGCUGUAUAUACAUAACAUUGUCUAAAUUACAAUUUAUUAAGAGCGUUACUGACAAGCAAGGUGGGUAUUUCCAGAACUGAAGGACAUCUGGAAGGCUGGGGUGAAGUGCAUAUAAAUGAAAAAGUUGGAAGGAAUUGCAAACGUCUUUGAGACAAAAGUCAUGCAAAAAUAAAGAGAAAGGAUAACUGUAAAAGGGAAGAUGAACUUAAGAAAAACAUAAAAUAAUCUACCUAGAGAACUUUGAAAGCAUAUGUUGAGAAGUUAAACAUGGAUUUUUUAUUUGAUUUUGAGAUGAGCCAGUCAUGAUGUUUGUUGCUACUUGAGCUGAAUACAGUUUUAUUAGAAUGUUUGGAUCUAUUUGCUGUCAAGUGGUCAUGAUUGCCAAAUUCCAUUUUACCUACAUAUUACAGCAUGAAAUUAUAAUACAUUGGAUGAAAGGAACAAAAAUAAGAUCAGAAAAAGAAUUUCUAUUGGAUUUCCAUGCAGUAUGCAGUAUGUUGAUGUCCUGAAUGCGGGGUCCAUGGUACUGUUUUGGUAAUUACAAUAAUGCUUAAUUUUCGGGUUUUCUGUUACUGCGGAAAGAGAAAGGUCUGAGGAAGUGAGACUUAAGAUGAAUGAGAGGGGAGAAGAAAACCAAAAGAUCCUUGUGAAAAAGGAUUGAUGCUCUGUGUAGGUGGAAUGAACUUUUUGGUUUAUUGUGUAAAGGAAAGUUUUGUCCUUGUAACACUAAGGAGGUUUGAUAACCAGAGGUGUGUUACGUUGAUAGAACACAAAACAUUAGACAAGGUAAAAAGAUAAGGAAUCACUGAAGGGAGUGGAGACACAUGCAGUUUUUACUCCUGUAUUGCCUGUGUGCACACACUCUUGUCCACCCACCCACGUGCUCCCAGGGAAGAAGAGGCAAAAGGUUACUGGGACCCCCAAUGACUUGCUCCUUUUUUUUUCCUCCUACACUUUUAUUCAUAUAUAAUUCAAAAUAUGAAGCAGGGGCAGGGGUAAAUAGCCCACAUAACCCUUCUCCUUUCCCCACUUCUGGCCCAUCUUCUCCCAAUUGUCUUUCAAGGAGAUAAGCUAAUUUACAACAUAAUUAUUUUCUCUAAUUAAUAUGUGCAGCACAGGAGAAUGAAAAUCACUUAGUAUGGAAAAAUUAUGGUUUAGGGUUCGGAUAUGUGAACGUGCUAUUGUGGGUUAACAAGUUCCAUACAUUUAACUUCUGUCCAUUAGUGUGCUUUAGAUUGUGAAUUCAGAGGGAUUUGACUCAAUCCUUUGACCAGUGUUCAUUUAGUCAGCCUUUGUAUUCCCUUCUACAAGUUAUAAGCCUCAAGCCCAGCACACAUCUGCAUUUAGUGCCUUUAGCAAAGAGAUUUAAAGCCUCAAAAAUAUCAUUAUGUACAAGAGGCAUGCAGGGUGGGUGAGAUAAAAUAAUUGGUAGCAACAUUUCUCCAUUCGUAAGCAAAGGCCAACACAGCAGUUUAAACCCCAGAGCCCUUGGGCAGAACCCUAGAAAAUAUUCUGUUAUUAGCAAUGCCUUUUGGUAGGUGACUAAAUGAACUUCUGGAUGGUCUUGAUGUAAAUGCUGUGAGAGUAAACAUAUGUGGAAGGAGAGAAAGCAAUCAUAAAAACCGUGAUGACUGGAAUUUGUUGUCAUUUCUUCUUUUAAAAUAUUUCCACACAUUGAAUGCUACUUUCUUGCACGGUAGAGUGGAUCACAGGAAAUACAUUAUUGAUUAUGUUAUUGUAAAUCGUUUGCAGGUGAGAGAUAUUUUAUAUUAUUACUUGUACAGAGUCCAACAGUCAUGAGAUAAAAGGCCAAAUGGGAAUUUCACUUGAAGGAACACAUCAGAUACUCCUCUGUUGGGGGAUGCCAGUAGUGCAGCAGAAAUGCUAAAAGGAGAGAUAUUAGGUAGAAAAUUCACAGCAGCUGCAGCCUGCAUUUCUGGAACUGGACAACAUGAAUCAGACCUGGUGCAAGAGAAGAGCCACGCCUUCAGAAGCAGGCUGGAGGCUUUCAGAGUCCACAAUUUAUCACCCUAACAUAUUCCGGAGAAAA